AUCCCUUUUCCAGCACGGCGGGGCCGUGGUGGGCUCGCGGGAGACGGCGCUCGGGGAGGCGGCGACGCGCUCGGGCGCCGCAUCAGGCGGCGGAAGCGAGGUGGGGAGGCGGCGUUGCGCUCCAGGGAUGCAACAGAGAGGCGUCGAGGCGGCGGUGCCCUCGAGCGCCGCAUUAGGCGGCGACAUCGAGGCGGGGAGGCGGCGCUGCGCUCCGAGGAUGCAGCAGCGAGGCGUCGAGGAGCCGCUGUGCUCGGGUGCCGCAUCAGGCGGCGGCAGCGAGGCAGGAGGCGCACGGGGAGAUGAAGGAGGAGAAAAUGGAGAGUCGGCCGGGGCACGGACCACAGCGGCGCAAGCUCGCAGGGGGCGAUGGCCAUAGCAGGGAGGCGGCGCUACGCUCGGGCACCGCAUGCCUCCUCUGUGUCUCCUUUCUUUCUUCCCCAACUCCUUCUCUCUUGCACGUCGCCGUCUUGCUGGCCACGCAGUAAAGAGAUCGAGGAAGAGGCGGGAGUCGGGUCAAUCGAUCUGUCGCACGACGGAUGCUGCACUCCCUUUUCCAUCUAGCAACGGGCCGCAGAGGGAGGUGGAAGAGGAGCCACAACCUCCGAGCAGGAUGCUGCCGCCUAACACGCAUCUGACCAUGAGCUGGAGGAUAAGGUUGGAGAUUUGGUAUCGGAUGCUGCUCCAAGAACGAGGGGCCAAGGUGCUGAACUAACAGCAGGGGGAGGAUGAUUCUUCAGGUAACAACAUAGCCCGUCGACUAGAGAAUUAAGUUAACUGUUUGCUUUACUUGAAGCUCCAAAUUGUAGUUAUUUUAUUCGUUCACUGAUUUGGUAUAAUCUUAAUCUAGGAGGAUUAUCACUGUAUGAUACGAGAUACUGAAGUUUAGCAAUGAUAAAAGUCUGAUGUUGAAUGGUUCUUUUCGGAAGUACAGUUGUAAGAUCUAUGAUUCUAGCUUCGACCUUUAACUGGACAGUAUUAAUUGGACAUAUAAUUGAUGAUUUAUGCACAGCAAGAUAUUCUGUUGCUUUUAGUUCUUCAAUCAGAUUCAUCUAGCCCUUUGUUGACUUUCUAAUUGUUCCACCCUCUACCUCUAAAACUCAGAAAUCAGAGAAAGGUCAUUGGCAAUUUGGCAUAUCCCUGUCACUGGCGAAGGUUUGCUAGAGAGGAAGAGGACCAAAAUCAUUCUUUCUAUUGUUGGGGGCAUACAUAAUACAUAUAGAUAAAUUUGGACCAUUUAUAACAGAGAUUUCUUGCCAAAAAUAUUAACUCUGUCCAGCAGUGGGCAUUGUCAAGGUAAUAAAAGGAAUUUGCUGAACCUAAUUGAAUGAAAGAGGGAUGGCUAAUCCGAUUGAGAACCUUCUGUAACUGAAUAGACUUACGAACGAUAACAAUAGUAAAUAGUUCCAAUUAACAGACGUUGUUUGAUUAAAAUACUAAUUUAAGAAUUUGGCGAAUCUAUAAUUCUCUACAUAAUCAGUUAGUGUAUUUUUGAUCACCGGGUUAUCCUAGACCACUUGGGACAGUAUCAUCAAUUUCUUGCAUACUGCAAUGCAAGUUUUAAAAGCCAGUUUCUUAUGUUUCCUAUUAUCUUUAUGUUCACCUAACUGCCAAGAAUCAUAAAGGAUGCACCUAAGGAGGUAGAUUUUGUUUUAUGCAUUUUUUUAAGUGUACAGAUGCUGCAACUGAUUAACAAAACAUUGUUCAACCUUCUAUGAGUCUGCCUAGGGAGCUGCACAGAUUUGGAACAACUUCCAGAACAUGCACCAAGCAUUUUGGUCAGGUACCACUAAGCUGCCAGAGCAAGAUAGCUGGGAUGUCAAGUCCCUAGGGCAAUGGUAAAUCUCAAAUUGCCUGAUGUUCGAUGGGAAGCAUCAGACAAUACCAAUGUCCAGUAGUAAGAUCUGAUUGUGCAGGUGGUCAAGCCAAGAUAAGUGUGCGUGCAUCACCGUUUAGUCGAGAUUUAGAAAAAGAUGAUGUCUGCUAUGAUAGUUUCCAGAAUAGUUUGGCCCUUGAGACACUUCCACUGUAUGCAUGUGUGUUCCUUUUUUUCCAAAGAUAUGCAUGUCUAUUGAUUAUUAUUGGAAUUGGUUCAACAAACAGUGCAUAUGUGACAAAAUUACUAAAAUAUACUGACCGAGCCUGAUAAUAUGACUAAUCCAUACAGUGGAUAUGCGCCAAUGCUCAAAUUUUAAAAAUGAAGGAUUCAACUUUUUUGGAUUAUUAUUAUUUGUGAACUCGCGAGUAUGCCUAGCAAUCGUAAAAAAAUAUAUAGUUCGACUUAGUGGUAGGUUCUGCAGUAGUCUUGCCUUGAAGGUUCCGUUCAUAGUAAAAAUUGAUAUGUCUUUAUGAAGUAAUCUGAGCAUUUUGUUGGUUGCAGGUCAACUUUGUUCUCCAAUAUAGGUGGUGUAUGUUUGUGCAAAAUGAUUAUGGAAGGACUUCUGGUAACUUUAUCUUUUGUCAAGGUUGUUUACUUGGUGGAGCAAACUUCCAUUUCCUCUGAACAGGUGAACAUGACAUGUGUGAUGGCUGUUAGCCCUAAUGAGCUUUAGACAUGUAUCUGAGGUUUCGUUGGCUGUGAACAAGUAGGGUCAACGAGUCGAGCAGAUCCUGGACCAUCACAUGAACACAUGAAACAGGUCGAUACCGGCAGCUUUUGGUAACCAUUCUAAGAUCUAGCACCUUGAUGCAACCCAGAAUAGCCUCACUGGAUCAACAUUCCCGGGAAUAACAGAAUUGGUGAACCAGUUGACACUUGAUCUUAACUAAUCAGUUAAUUAAACCCUGAAUCUGAAUGAAGGGCUCCUUGAUUAAUUUUUUCACAAGUAGUCCAAUGAUUCAGGGGUUUGGACUUUAGUGUUUUUGGAUUAUUACGGGGCAGCAACCCUGCUUUUGAGCACACCCAAACAAAUUGAAUCAGGGUCUCUGCUUUUGGUUGUUCAAGUUUGUGAUAAAUCAUUAUGAACAAUUGUGUUUCCGGUGGCAGCUAAAUACAUUGGUAGAUCUGCACCAUACUCUGCUCCUAUUGAUUGAUGAUCACAAGUCACAACCCAAUUUUAGAUCUAUUUGAUUUGUUUCGUUUAGUGUUGGAUGGUGCAAAUUAAAGAAAGUGUACUGUCAUUCAUCAAUUUACUAAAUCUGGCCUGAAUGCGCCGUUGCCUGGAUUUCUAAAUCUUAUCCAAUUAUCUGGUAAUCAUUUCCUUAGCUGUUUGACUGGAGCACAUUCUCUUGAUUGAGGAGAUGAAUCUAACUGAACCUUCUUAGCUUAGAAACAAAAGUCGUUCUUUCGAUGAACCGAGAACUAUUGCGGUUAAUUUGUCAGCAAUUGUGUUCCUUCUGUACUUUAAUUCUUGGUCUAUGUUGAGUUGGGGGAUUUUUACAGUCUGACAACAAGAAUCUUAGACAGUCUGAAAUUAGUUGUUUUUUGGAUUAUCAAGUGAGAGAGACAUGGUCCUUGAGUUGCUGUACCAAUGUAUGUUUAGGGUUUAGUGAGAUUUUCUUCCUGUAAGGUGCGGUUCUUGGGGAUAGAUAAAAUACCAGUCACAUUCAAUUUGUUGUGAAGUCUACCAUUUUAGUUCAAAUGCCACCUUACCAAAAAUAGAGAACACUUUUGCCACUGGAGUAGGAUAACAAACAUGAAACCAGUUAAUCAGUGUAUCAUAGAUGACUGCUUAUUUCUAAAUCACCAGGGCGCUCUCCCUGCAACGGAACUACUUGGGCGUCUUUGACGGCAGCAUGCUUGAUACUGAGGCUGAAGACUAGCAUGGUUGAUGAGCUAAAGUGGCGGGUGGAGCUGGACCACAAGUCCACGGCGCUCGUGUAGAAGGAUCACGUCGGCGGUGGCGGCUGCCCAGGCCAUGGCCAUGAUCACCAAUCUGCAGGAGGAGAAGGUGGCGAUGCGGACGGAGGAGUAUCGAUUGGUCAUGGAGGAGUAGAGUGUGUAUGAUUGUGAUGAGGCUGAGCGUCUGGCUACUGAGAAGUGCUUUGUUUUGGGCAAGCCAAAAUACUUGAAAAAAAAAGAGAAAAUACUCUUCCCAACUAA